rnacentral:rRNA from 1 species
UACAGAGGGGGCAAGCGUUAUUCGGAAUUAUUGGGCGUAAAGGGCGCGUAGGCGGCUUUGCAAGUGACGGGUGAAAUCCCUCGGCUUAACCGAGGAACUGCCUGUCAAACUGCAUGGCUUGAGACCGGGAGAGGUGAGUGGAAUUCCCAGUGUAGCGGUGAAAUGCGUAGAUAUUGGGAGGAACACCAGUGGCGAAGGCGGCUCACUGGACCGGUACUGACGCUGAGGCGCGAAAGCGUGGGUAGCAAACGGG